AGCAGUCCGCGGGAAUACGUAGGGUGCGAGCGUUAAUCGGAAUUACUGGGCGUAAAGCGUGCGCAGGCGGUUUUGUAAGACAGGCGUGAAAUCCCCGGGCUCAACCUGGGAAUGGCGCUUGUGACUGCAAAGCUAGAGUGCGGCAGAGGGGGAUGGAAUUCCGCGUGUAGCAGUGAAAUGCGUAGAUAUGCGGAGGAACACCGAUGGCGAAGGCAAUCCCCUGGGCCUGCACUGACGCUCAUGCACGAAAGCGUGGGGAGCAAACAGGAUUAGAUACCCCUGUAGUCCCUGUCUCUUAUACAC
rnacentral:rRNA from 1 species